AUUGAACGCUAGCGGGAUGCUUUACACAUGCAAGUCGAACGGCAGCGCGGACUUCGGUCUGGCGGCGAGUGGCGAACGGGUGAGUAAUGUAUCGGAACGUGCCCAGUAGCGGGGGAUAACUACGCGAAAGCGUAGCUAAUACCGCAUACGCCCUACGGGGUAAAGCAGGGGAUCGUAAGACCUUGCACUAUUGGAGCGGCCGAUAUCGGAUUAGCUAGUUGGUGAGGUAACGGCUCACCAAGGCGACGAUCCGUAGCUGGUUUGAGAGGACGACCAGCCACACUGGGACUGAGACACGGCCCAGACUCCUACGGGAGGCAGCAGUGGGGAAUUUUGGACAAUGGGGGCAACCCUGAUCCAGCCAUCCCGCGUGUGCGAUGAAGGCCUUCGGGGUGUAAAGCACUUUUGGCAGGAAAGAAACGUCGCGGGCUAAUACCCCGUGGAACUGACGGUACCUGCAGAAUAAGCACCGGCUAACUACGUG
rnacentral:rRNA from 1 species